rnacentral:rRNA from 1 species
CCUACGGGUGGCAGCAGUGGGGAAUAUUGGGCAAUGGGCGCAAGCCUGACCCAGUAACGCCGCGUGAAGGAAGAAGGCUUUCGGGUUGUAAACUUCUUUUCUGAGGGACGAUAAAAGUGACGGUACCUCAGGAAUAAGCCACGGCUAACUACGUGCCAGCAGCCGCGGUAAUACGUAGGUGGCAAGCGUUAUCCGGAUUUAUUGGGUGUAAAGGGCGUGUAGGCGGGAAAGCAAGGUGGAUGUGAAAACUCUGGGCUCAACCCAGAGACUGCAUUUGAAACUGUUUUUCUUGAGUGCUGGAGAGGAAAGCGGAAUUCCGUGUGUAGCGGUGAAAUGCGUAGAUAUACGGAGGAACACCAGUGGCGAAGGCGGAUUGCUGGACAGUAACUGACGCUGAGGCGCGAAAGCGUGGGGAGCAAACAGGAUUAGAUACCCGGGUAGUC